rnacentral:rRNA from 1 species
CACGUAGGCGGACCAGAAAGUUGGAGGUGAAAUCCCAGGGCUCAACCUUGGAACUGCCUUCAAAACUCCUGGUCUUGAGUUCGAGAGAGGUGAGUGGAAUUCCGAGUGUAGAGGUGAAAUUCGUAGAUAUUCGGAGGAACACCAGUGGCGAAGGCGGCUCACUGGCUCGAUACUGACGCUGAGGUGCGAAAGCGUGGGGAGCAAACA